GAUUAUUUGUGUUCUUAAAAAAGAAAAAAAAUGAAUAUUUCUGUAGCCCUAUUUUUUAUGGAUGAUGAGGAGGAGGUUCAAAUUGUGCCACGGAGGCAUUUAAGAGAUGCUUCGAAUUUAUUUGAAGUACCUAACAACCAGUUUGUGUCUUCCAGUGGUCUUCAUGGGAUUGCUUGCUGCUUCCAAAAAUUGGCACUCCUCUGGCGAACUUAGGAUUCUCCCCCAUAUACUCAACUAGUGCCCGCAGCUGUGUAGUUUUUUCGUGCUGGAAUUGAGAAAAUAAAAAAAUAUAUAUUUGUUGUUCACAGAUUAAA